rnacentral:misc_RNA from 1 species
UUUUUUUUUUUUUUUUGUUUUAAUUUUUUUUUUUUUUAAUUCUCGAGUCUACUUGGUUUAAACCCUUUGCACCUUUAUGUGAUUGCAUCAUGUUUCUUCCCUCAAAACACACCUAAGACAUUGCCGAGUUAGGAAUAAAAGAAGUAUCAAAUCUUUUACCAUUUAGGACUGCUUGGGCAAAUGAGCUGUCCUUAUUUGGCGGUGGCAAUUCAUCAAUGGAAAAUCUUGAGGGAAACGAUCCACUUAACUUAAGUGGAAGUGUAGAGGUAGGAACUUCUUCUUUGUCUAAACUUUGUUGCGAGAUGAGAGGUUUACUUAGGGAAGAAGCAAACUCUGAACUUUGGCCUAUCUUGCAAACUGAAGUUAAGGAACUGGUUAUGCCUCCCCCACCUCCAGUCCCUUUCAUGAAGCUAAUUUGAGUAGUGAGCAUGUCUAUCGACCUCCUGCACAUUUUCAUAAAAAAAUGAGGUAAUUGCAUUGAUUGAGUUAACAAUUGGACUUGUCCCAACUAGUCAAAAGAAUCUAUUAAUGAUUUUAUAGGUCAUUUACUUGCUCUUUGAAGAGAAUCAAGCAUAUUUUCAAUCUGAUUAAAGAAAGAUAUUCCAAUGCAAGAACCAAAAAUCUGGAAGUAGUUUAUUUCGAAAAUUUCAAACCUUGAUCAAUAACGUGAGCAUAACCCUUGAGUUAAUGCGUGUAUUCCAUUAACAUAAUACGAUUGAUACGGAAACAUUUUGUGCUGAUACUACAUUGCAAGAUUAUGAAUUAUAAGAAUUUACAUACACCAGAAUGCAUAUACCUAUUCAAUUAAUAAUUGACAUAUCAUUUUUACGAUCCUAUUACAACAUAUAGUUUCUUGAAUUCAGAUUGAUUGGGUUUAUGAAAAAAUAUAUACAUAGGGAUGUAGUUAAGAACUUUCCAUGCUUAUAAAACCCAAAUCUCUCCAGAUUCCUAGAUAAGAGCUUAAUUAAAGGUACCUAAAAAAGAAGGGAAAAAAGGGUACUAACAUUUAUGAGGAUACCUGUAACUCUGAGGCCACGUAGGAGUAGCAGACUCAAUACUAUGAUUUGAGAUGUGCGUAGGAGAAGAGUCAUCGGAUUCUGUAUCGUAAUGAUUUUCACAAGCCCUUUCUGCCAGGUUUUCUUCAUCGUCGGUUUGGAAUUCAUCACCGCGGUCACGACCCAGCAGAUCCUCAUCUCGCGUCAUUCUUUUUGCCUUAAUACUCACCAUAAAAACAAAACUAGAAAAAUCACAAGGGAAGGAACAGCUUGCUUCGUCUCUCGGAUUUCAUUACCGCUUGAAAUAAGUUUUGGAGAAAUCAAAGCGAGAGAAAGGCAAAAUGUUGGAACUGCAGCGAUUGAAGAGGCAUGAGACACAAAAGGCUACUUUCUUGUGUAAUUUCACACUUGUCAGUGUAAUUUGCUGUUUUUCCGGGCGGAUUUUGAAUCAACAAUAUUGACCCCGAUCCUACUAUUUAUAGCAAAAUGUAUUGCUAAAUCCCGGAAUGGCCCUCCUUUGAUCCAAUCAUUAUGGUCUAGUAAUGAAAUCAAAAGAACACCCUCAAGCAAUGUGCAUUUUAUGCGCUUGAGAUGAUAAUGUUAAUAAAGGCAAGGACACAAGAGAGAAUGAGAGACUAAGCAAAGAUUAAAAUUACAUAUCACAAUAUUGGAGUUUAUUUUAUUCGGAUCCUUUCAUGUGUGGUGCCACAUGAUAGGUCUCAUGAUAGAGAAAUGAAUUCAUAAUUAAAAUUUUACAAGGGGGCAUGAUUGUUUUAUGUGAUAAGAUUCUAAUAGUAAUUCAAUUGACCAAGACCCAUCAUGUUAAUAGCAAACUUGAGAGGAUCCCAGUACUAUUACUGAGCUCUUUUGUCAAUUUGAUUGAGUUUGCCAAGACCAUUGCAACGAGGACAAACGAUCUGAGCCUGGUCUUUCCGAGCAGCAUUAACCCUCAAAGCUGCUCCUGACUUCCUAAUGAAACCUGCUCCAUCACACUCGGGACACAAGUCCUUGCGAGAGAAAACGAUGGGGAAGGCGGUUCCAAGUAGAGCUACAGCAGCUGCACCCGCAAUAAGAUAGGUUGUGCCAUCAGCAGAUACAUCUCCAACUGCUGCAACAACCGUCAACGAUCUCUUCUUCUUGUGGCCCCAGUUACACGAUACAACUCUUGAACCUGCAGGCCUUGGUAGAGCACAAAUGCAAGAGCCUGGAACUGCACAUUUCUUGGGUGAAUUUCCAGCAAAACUCUGCAGAUGAGCUAACGUUGCCAUCUAUGCCCACUUGAAGAUUUUCCACUCCAAAUUCAAGACAAAUUACUUAAAUUGGCUACAGAAAUGGAAUCGGAUUAAAGAUAAAAAGAAAAAAAGCCGACAGAGGUUUGAUGGCCUAGCUUGCAUCUGGUUAUGGCGUAUGGAUUUAGUUGUUACCAAUUGGAUAAGGCCACGUAGAGCUCAGGAUUCAUGUGGUUGAAUGGAUAAGGUUGGUCCCAUAUCUUCACUGAACCAAUGAAGCCAUGUUUAGCGUUUGCAAACCCUAUUUCGUUUACCACAAUCACAUCAAGGGCACCUCUCUUCGCUCACGCAUAUCUAAGAAUUGUAGACUUUUUAAGGUUUUAUAACCACGUCCAAAAAUCCUGAUGCUGCCACACAAACGACAAGAAAAGAAAAUGACAAGUUUCUUCAACUUUCGAGCAGCAUGCUAUUUACCGCAUACCAAAAACACAAGUACCACAAAUUCCAGGUAAUUUUAGUUAUGCAUGUUUUAUCUCUCUCGACAGGAUAUGAACACAGCAGGAUUGCCCCAUUAAACCAAUUAGCUUAGCUGUAAAAUCAGGAACUGCCAAAAGGAGAAAAAGCCACUGUGUGAAACUUAUUUGCACUCUAUGGAUCUGAGCAAAAUAAACUGAUGUACCUGCUCAAAAAAAAUCAAAGCACAGGGGCAAUGUGGCAAUCACAACUGAUUUUGUAUUUGAUGCCUUCAUUUCCAGCCACACAAUAUGACGACAGGGGCCUCGCUGGCAGAUCAAACAUGUGGACUCUUUCUCUUUCCUAAGCGGGUUGUUGUCCUUACCGAAAGCUAAUUGCUUGUUAUAUGCUGGCCUUCCGAGUUUCCAUGAAUGCAUUAAGAUAUCCUGAUGAUGCCAUACUGUGCAUUGGCCAUCAAGACUCGUGUAUCUGCUGUUAGAAGUGCAGAUCUGCUUCCUCAAUGCUCACAGUUUUAUUAGCAAAUUAACAGAAGUUCCACCAAAGCCACCUGAUCCAAUUCUAAAUCACAGACAACAUGAAGAAUGACAAGCGAAAAUAAUAAAAAUAAACAUCUUUCAUUCUUUAUCUCUAAUCCUGAUAGGUACAAUGUAAACAAAAAUCAUAUUGGUACCAUACACAUUUCUUAACAUUAUAUCAAGAGCACAUGAUCAUGGUUUAUUACCACCAACGUCUUCAUGCCUUCAAUGCUAUCCAACUAAUGUAAUGGCUAGCUUCUCAGUGGCAUAUAUUGUAUUGAAGACAAUUUAUCCAUACUUCAUAUAAGCCAAAAUUAAACAAUUAAGGAUAAUAAUAAUAAUAUAUAUAAAAAAAAAAGAAAACUGAAAGCCAAAAUCAGAUAACUUCGUCACAAAUUUCGGUUGAUACUUUCAGAUACAAGUAGAAUCCAAAUGUAGAGCAAAGACAUCAACAAUUGUUUAUCCAUUUAGAUGGUGGCAGCUAAGGCUACAUUGAUGUGGUUUUAGCAGUAAGCAUGUCCACAUGAAAUGUGUACACUUCCAGACUGAAAGUUGAGUGCAGCUUGAGAUUUUUUUCACAUUGCAUAAUGUAUGCCUCUAUCAAACUUGCAGCGUAAAAGGAAAAAGGAAGAAGGAAGAAAACAAGUUUAACUCAGCCACAUAUUAAUUCUGAAAGAGUUAUAGUCAGGCACUGCACUUGAGAUGUUUUAUAACUAGAAUCCUCUACUAAUAGGACACAUAUUAGAAUGUUGCAGAAAUUAAAGGUUCCAUAUAUAUGACUACCAUCCUAGGCAUAUUAAGUAAUAAUGACAGGGAGAAGACGAUGACAAUUCUCAGAUUAGUCAUCCAUCUUUUAGAGCUAAAAUAUUUCUCACAUGUUAUGAGUCAUAUUUCAAAAAUACUGAUUGACAUUUGACACUGUAAUUUAACUUAGCAGUAAAUUAUAUAACAAAGUUAUAGUUAAAUGAAAUAAAAAAGCCAUUCCUUUCAGGAAAAAAAAAUUGUGAGGAAGAUACUGGAAUUCAUUAACUUUGUCUGAUGUCUAACAAUGCAUAAAUCAAUGUUGGCACCAACAUCAUUGAAAAUUUGUAUAGUGUUGAUGUGAAAUGGCAAAUAAAAAUUGAUGAAUAAGACAUUAGCCUUCCCACAUGCACAAACUGUAGGAUAAAUUUCAACAAUUGUUCAUGAACUUAUAUAGUUGUAACACUA